AAGAAUGGAGGAAGGUAGGGGAGUGACGUCAAGUACAUCAUGGCCCUUACGUCCAGGGCUACACACGUGCUACAAUGGCCGAUACAGAGGGCAGCUACCUGGUGACAGGAUGCAAAUCUCCAAAGUCGGUCUCAGUUCGGAUCGGAGUCUGCAACCCGACUCCGUGAAGUUGGAUUCGCUAGUAAUCGCGCAUCAGCCAUGGCGCGGUGAAUACGUUCCCGGGCCUU
rnacentral:rRNA from 1 species